GUCCUAGCUUUUGUAGCUGAGUGUCAGCCUUGAACUUGGCCCAAGAUAAUACUGCCUCUACGAUGCCAAUCUUUGUGACCUGACAAAAAUGUGGGAUGUUUAAAAAAAAUUGGGUAUCCAUGAGCUGUUUGACUACUGCAUCUGUGACAUGAUCCACAUGUCUACCUCCCUGUUAACAACGGUUUGUCAGACAAUUCGAACAAAUGUACAAGACCUAAUAAAGACGAAUUAAUUUUA